UUCACAGAGCUCCUGAGAAGCUGAUUGGCCAACAGCAUUGUUUGGGAGGAGGAAAAAAGAGAGUUUGUUCACAUGACACUGUAGUACACAACCAGGAGUACAGAACAGAAAGGAAAACCUACCAGGACUACCAUGUAGUGUACAUGGGAUGUUUGCUGUGCAUAUAAUGCACACCUUUCUUGAGGAAUUCACUACCACAAAUUGUGUUGAUGGUCCCUAACUUUGGUUUAUCUCCGGCUGUUAUUCAUGAGAGCUACAUUAAUCCUCCAUAUACCCUCCAUGUACAAAGCAAUAGAAUCCCAGAUACUGAGACAGACAACA